GGACCGCCCAGCACCAGGCACAGCGGGGGUCCUCCUUCUCUGGGAGGAGUUGACUUGGGUCUGUCGCUCCUGGAGGGCGGGGCUGCCUGCACGCAACAGCACCCGGUUCCCUGGGCGGGAGUCUUUGUGAAGGAGGGCAGCUGCUGCUGCUGCUGCUGCUAAGUCACUUCAGUCGUGUCCGACUCUGUGCGACCCCAGAGAUGGCAGCCCACCAGACUCCCCCGUCCCUGGGAUUCUCCAGAAACAAAGGCCCUGCCCAGGUGGAGGAGGGGGACCACAUGCUGACCAAAAGCAUGCAGACCCCAGACUGGCUGGGACAGAAGGUUGAUGAUACUGACUCCUGAUUACCUCAUCACCAAAGAAUCAGAAGAAAGUUCAUGAGCUGCAGCCCUCAACCCAAACACUGCCUUCUCUGAAAGCCAUCGGGUAGUUUGGGUCUUUUGAACAUGAGCUGCCUGGUCUCCUUGCUUGGCACCUGCAAUAAUAAUCACUGUAGGGGCUCCCCUGGUGGUUCAUCGGUUAAGAAUCCACCUGCCAAUUCAGAGGACACUGGUUUGAUCUCUGGUCCGGGAAGAUGCCAUAUGCCGUGGAGCAACUAAGCCUGUGUACCAUAACUACUGAGCCCGGGCUCCAGAGCCCGCAAGCUGCAACUACUGAGCCCAUGUACUGCAACGAGGCCAACGCGCCCUAGAGCCCACGGCUCUCCACAACAGCAGAAGCCACCACGAUGAGAAACCUGCACUCUGCAACAAAGAGCAGCCCCCACUGGCAGCAACUAGAGAAAGCCCACACAUAGCAACGAAGACCCAGCACAGCCAAAACAAAUAAAUAAAUCUUAAUUAAAACAAAAACAAAAACACACCACUGUACUCUCCUUCAUCACAACACAGCAUCAGUAGGCUGGCUUUGCUGUGAUCUGGCGAGCAGACCCAAGCUCUGUCCAGUAGCAACACUGACGGCCACACAUGCACACAACAGCACACAGUCAUAGGAACUGCUC
ensembl:lncRNA